rnacentral:rRNA from 1 species
GGUUUGAUCCUGGCUCAGGACGAACGCUGGCGGUGUGCCUAAUGCAUGCAAGUCGAACGGUUCUCCGGUUCGCCGGGGGAUAGUGGCGAAAGGGUGAGUAACGCGUAGGUGACCUAUCCCGGAGUGGGGAAUAACUCGCCGAAAGGCGAGCUAAUACCGCGUGUGAUCCAGGGGCGAAAGCCCCUGGAGGAAAGCCGCAAGGCGCUUCCGGAGGGGCUUGCGCCCUAUCAGGUAGUUGGCGGGGUAAUGGCCCACCAAGCCGAAGACGGGUAGCUGGUCUGAGAGGACGACCAGCCAGACGGGGACUGAGACACGGCCCCGACUCCUACGGGAGGCAGCAGCAAGGAAUCUUGCGCAAUGGGCGAAAGCCUGACGCAGCGACGCCGCGUGGAGGAUGAAGGCCUUCGGGUCGUAAACUCCUUUUGCCAGGGAAGACAACCGACGGUACCUGGCGAAUAAGCCCCGACUAACUACGUGCCAGCAGUCGCGGUAAUACGUAGGGGGCAAGCGUUGUCCGGAUUUACUGGGCGUAAAGGGCGCGUAGGCGGUCUGUUAAGUCGGCCGUGAAAUCCCUCGGCUCAACUGAGGGGCGCCGGCCGAGACUAGCGGGCUGGAGGGAGGCAGAGGAGAGCGGAAUUCCCGGUGGAGCGGUGAAAUGCGUAGAGAUCGGGAGGAACACCCGUGGCGAAAGCGGCUCUCUGGGCCUCUCCUGACGCUGAGGCGCGAAAGCGUGGGGAGCAAACCGGAUCAGAUACCCGGGUAGUCCACGCCGUAAACGAUGGGCACUGGGUCUGGGGGAGUUUCGACCCUCCUCCGGGCCGAAGCUAACGCGUUAAGUGCCCCGCCUGGGGAGUACGGCCGCAAGGCUAAAAC